GCACCUUUUGAGAUUUUUACAGGAUAAUGGUGACUACCCUUGGCUUGUUUGUAGGGAUUUUAAUGAGAUUCUAUAUGGGUUUGAAAAAAAAAGGUGGAUUACCUAGAGAUGAAAGAAUGAUGGAAGCUUUCCGAAAAGUGCUAGAAGACUGUAAUUUGAUUGAUGUAGGCUAUUCAAGAAGAUGGUUCACUUGGAAGAGGGGUAAUUUGCCAGAAACGAAAAUCCAAGAGAGAUUAGACAAGGGAGUAGCAACUGAAG
rnacentral:lncRNA from 1 species